rnacentral:rRNA from 1 species
AGAGCGAACGCUGGCGGCAGGCUUAACACAUGCAAGUCGAGCGGGCGUAGCAAUACGUCAGCGGCAGACGGGUGAGUAACGCGUGGGAACAUACCUUUUGGUUCGGAACAACACAGGGAAACUUGUGCUAAUACCGGAUAAGCCCUUACGGGGAAAGAUUUAUCGCCGAAAGAUUGGCCCGCGUCUGAUUAGCUAGUUGGUGAGGUAACGGCUCACCAAGGCGACGAUCAGUAGCUGGUCUGAGAGGAUGAUCAGCCACAUUGGGACUGAGACACUGCCCAAACUCCUACGGGAGGCAGCAGUGGGGAAUAUUGGACAAUGGGCGCAAGCCUGAUCCAGCCAUGCCGCGUGAGUGAUGAAGGCCUAGGGUUGUAAAGCUCUUUGUGCGGGAAGAUAAUGACGGUACGCAAGAAUAAGCCCGGCUAACUUCGUGCCAGCAGCCGC